UCGGGAAUAUUGCGCAAUGGAGGAAACUCUGACGCAGUGACGCCGCGUGCAGGAAGAAGGUUUUCGGAUUGUAAACUGCUUUAGACAGGGAAGAAAAAUGACAGUACCUGUAGAAUAAGCUCCGGCUAACUACGUGUCAGCAGCCGCGGUAAUACGUAGGGAGCGAGCGUUAUCCGGAUUUAUUGGGUGUAAAGGGUGCGUAGACGGGAAGAUAAGUUAGUUGUGAAAUCCCUCGGCUCAACUGAGGAACUGCAACUAAAAUCUGUCAUUCUUGAGUACUGGAGAGGAAAGUGGAAUUCCUAGUGUAGCGGUGAAAUGCGUAGAUAUUAGGAGGAACACCAGUGGCGAAGGCGACUUUCUGGACAGAAACUGACGUUGAGGCACGAAAGUGUGGGGAGCAAACAGGAUUAGAUACC
rnacentral:rRNA from 1 species